UGGUUAUGUACAGGGGAGCCUGGCAUGCUGCAGUCCAUGGGGUCGCAAAGAGUCGGACACGACUGAGCGACUGGACGGAGCUGGGUUGAUUCUGGCCUCCACCUUGUUGCCUGCUUUGGCCAAUAGAAUUACAGCCAAUGUAAGGCAGGCAGAGACUUGAAAAGUGCUUGCCCUUUAAGACUUGCUUUCUCCUGGGACGCUACUACUGUUGGAAGAAGCCAGGCUAGCAAGUUGGGUGGUGACCAAGUGUCAAAUGUGAGAGUGAGGCCAUCCUAGAAAAUGCAGCCCUAGUCGCUGCAUCAGUUGAUCACACGUGCGUGAUUGCCCAGGAGAGGUCCGAUAAGCCUGCCCAGAGCUGCUGGUUUGCCGCUGCGAUUUUACGUCUCCACUUAGAUUUUUGUCUAAGUACUCCCUUCUUUCUUUUAAGAAGGCAAGAAAGGAUAAUUUCAGAGACCAGCGUCAAAGACCAUACAAAGUCGUUGUAAUCACUCACUGCGAGGAACAGACUCAUGGACACAGACUGUUCAGUCUGAGCUGACAUCACCAUUCUAGUAGAUGGUGGCAGGACUCUUCCAGGGACAGACUGAGGAUUUCCAUGAAUUUCUUUUCAUUCCAAAUAGGACACAUAAUGAGAGCUGCUUAAAUCCAGAUUCUUACAAAAAAUAAAUAAUAUGAAUGAAAAUAAUAACAAUAAUAAUGAGAAUAUAAUUUUGAUUAUCUGUUUUGGAAUAUCGUUGCUAUUGUGCUACUAUAGCACAAUAUUCUACAUUCUAUGUAGAAUAUAAUAUGUCUAUAUUCUGAGAGGCAAUGAGACAAUCUUGCACAUCCUUCCUAAUCUAGUUCUAAUUUUUGUACACGGUGCUUAUAUAAACUGAAAUAAAACACUGCUGGAUUGACA